rnacentral:rRNA from 1 species
AUACGUAGGUGGCGAGCGUUAUCCGGAAUUACUGGGUGUAAAGGGUGUGUAGGCGGGAUAGCAAGUCAGAUGUGAAAUGCCGUGGCUUAACUACGGCACUGCAUCAGAAACUGCUGUUCUUGAGGGUGGGAGAGGUAAGUGGAAUUCCUGGUGUAGCGGUGAAAUGCGUAGAUAUCAGGAGGAACACCGGUGGCGAAGGCGACUUACUGGACCAUUACUGACGCUGAUACACGAAAGCGUGGGGAGCAAACAGGAUUAGAUCCCCUGGUAGUCCACGCCGUAAACGAUGAAUACUAGGUGCGGGGGCGCAAGCCUCCGUGCCGUCGUUAACACAUUAAGUAUUCCACCUGGGGAGUACGGCCGCAAGGUUGA